rnacentral:tRNA from 1 species
GCUCUCGCAGUUACUGCUAACAUUAAUUUUGUAAUUUAAAAAAGACUUCCUUGUGCAUUCAAGUCCUUGAGCU